AUGACUCUGAUCUGCGUCCUCGUCUGGACUCUCCUCUGCUUCACAGGUAAAUCCAGAGGCCAGGUCACAGUGACUCAGCCUGGAGCAGUGAGCUCUGCUGCUGGAGGCUCCGUCUCCAUCUCAUGUACAACCAGUCAGAGUGUUUAUGCCAGUUCUGGCAUUAGUAACUACCUUCACUGGUACCUACAGAAACCAGAAGAAUCUCCCAAACUUUUGAUUUAUCGUGCCUCAAGUCGUCAGUCAGGGAUCUCAGAUCGUUUCAGUGGAAGUGGAUCUGGAAGUGACUUCACUCUGACCAUCAGAGGAGUUCUGACUGAAGAUGCAGGAGAUUAUUAUUGUCAGCAGGGUUUAAGCUUCCCGUUCACACAGUGAAACAACGUCGUACAAAAACCUCCUCAGCUGGAGAGGAACUGAUCCACUCAACAGCUGCACAGGAACACAGACACUUAACGUUUGAGUGACACUUCAUCGUUUUUAAAGUUGUCAGAAAAUAUUGUUACAAAUAGAAUGAAUUAUAAUCUAGUUGAAUAUGGGAAAAGAUCCGUUAAUACAAUUUACAUGAUCACUAUAUAUUAAUCUCUGAAAUACAAUAUUCACCUCUA